CCGUUAUGAUAAGAUCCUAUUAUCUUACAACGGAAUAGAAUUUAUUAAGACCAAAGAAGCAGUGAAAAUGUUGAAAGAAUUGACUAUUAUUUCCUUUGUUUUAGUAUCAGUGCAUGCGAAGACGAUGUGUAGACUCGAUUCUGAAUGUGCAUCAGGCGAAUGUUGUUAUUAUCAUGAAGGACCUAUGAUUGUCAGCAAGUGAGAUGUCUUGCCAUUCAAUGCCAUGCAUCAAGGUGGUUGGUGUGAAAAAUAUCUCCUCAAUGGAGCUCGGUGUAAUCCAUUUAACAAAGUGAACAGACACUGUAGUUGUGGAAAUGGUCUGAAAUGUACACGUUUUCCAUACACAUCUACACCCUCAGUCGGUAAAAGGGGACUUCUUCCCGGAGACUACCUCUGUGCUCCAACUCUUUAAACAGAAAUAAAAAAGAGACUAUAAUU